GUAUGUGGCAUAAUACUAGAAAAAGAUAUAAUUAGGUGUGAUAGGCUUUUCAAGGACUAGGAUAUCUUGAUAGCCCUAAAACGUAUUUAGUACAAAGACAAAUAUAAAGUGUUUAGGCUUUAUAUAAUAUCAAAAUAAAUUUAGGUAUAAACAAGGUAUAAUCACCUUUAUUUCUAGUGAAUAAUUAUUACUUUUUCUUAAUUUGAGAUAAUUAAGUGCUUCUAUAUGAAUUAUGUCUAAUAGUAAUAAUGUUACCAUUAGUAUUAAAUUAGGCGUUUACAAUGAACUCGGCAAUAAAAAUUCUCAACUGUUUACCAAAAACAUAGCUGUAUGUGAGUUGAUAUAUAGUUAUUUCUGCUCGAUGUAGUAUAAAUGGCCGCAGUACUCUGACUGUGCAAAGGUAGCAUAAUCAAUUGGCUUAUAAUUGAAGUCUAGUAUGAAGGAAAAUAUGGGGAUUGACUGUAUAGAAAACGUAUCAAAAAAAUUACUAAAUAAGUGAAAAGGCUUAUGGUUAAAUAAUAGACGAGAAGACCCUAGAAAUUUUGUGAGAAUAAUUAUAUAUAAAGGUUUUUGUUGGGGCGACACAGUAGCAUAAUAACCUACUAAGGUGAAUUUGAUUAGUGUAUUAUGAAUAACUAAAUUACUCUAGGGAUAACAGCAUAAUAUUUAAAAGUUUGUGACCUCGAUGUUGGACUAGGAUACUAAAACCCAGAAGGUGACUAGUAGCGCUCUGUUCGAGCCAUUGCCUCCUACAUGAUCUGAGUUCAGACCGGCGUAAGCCAGGUCAGUUUCU
rnacentral:rRNA from 1 species